UACGUAGGGUGCAAGCGUUAAUCGGAAUUACUGGGCGUAAAGAGCUCGUAGGCGGUUUGUUGCGUCGGCUGUGAAAUCCCGAGGCUCAACCUCGGGUCUGCAGUCGAUACGAGCAAACUAGAGUGUUGCAGGGGAGACUGGAAUUCCUGGUGUAGCGGUGAAAUGCGCAGAUAUCAGGAGGAACACCGAUGGCGAAGGCAGGUCUCUGGGCAUUAACUGACGCUGAGGAGCGAAAGCAUGGGGAGCGAACAGG
rnacentral:rRNA from 1 species